GUGGGGAAUAUUCCGCAAUGGACGAAAGUCUGACGGAGCAACGCCGCGUGAGUGAUGAAGGUUUUCGGACUGUAAAGCUCUGUUGUUUAGGACGAAAGUGCCUGUUGCAAAUAGUUACAGGUAUUGACGGUACUGAACGAGGAAGCCACGGCUAACUACGUGCCAGCAGCCGCGGUAAUACGUAGGUGGCAAGCGUUGUCCGGAAUUAUUGGGCGUAAAGAGCAUGUAGGCGGGAAUCUAAGUCUGUUGUGAAAAUGCGGGGCUCAACCCCGUAUUGCGAUGGAAACUGGGUGUCUUGAGUGCAGGAGAGGAAAGGGGAAUUCCCAGUGUAGCGGUGAAAUGCGUAGAUAUUGGGAGGAACACCAGUGGCGAAGGCGCCUUUCUGGACUGUGUCUGACGCUGAGAUGCGAAAGCCAGGGUAGCGAACGGGAUUAGAAACCCCAGUAGUCC
rnacentral:rRNA from 1 species